CCGGAGGCUCGGCUCCAGCAAACACCGGGGCUGGAGAAACCGAUGCGAACGGGAUAGGCAAUAUUUUUAAAGGGUCCCAGCCCUUUCCCCUCCCGCUCUGUCUCUGGGAUUUCUGACGCUCCAAAACUUUUAUCCCUUCUGCCUGACACACGGCAUUCAUUUAGCUCUCACAGACUGGGAUCCUGCCUGCUAAAAUUCCAAACGGACCAGGAUUUCUCCCAGACACAAGCUGCAACCACUUAGAACCCCAGCUGCCUUUGACAGUGCAAAAUGCCUCUUCCCAACUGUUAUCGUGGAACUGGGCAGGUGGACUAUAACUUCCUGAAAUUUUAUGUUGCGUCAAGUAUAACACCCGAGGGUUUUUUCAGCAGAUUUGUCAUAUGACAAAAAGCAUCUGACCUGUAAAGAUGAUGUUUGAGAUUGAAGCUUCAGGGAGAUGAACACAAGCUCACAGCCAUUCAGGCCUGGCAGCGAGAGUUCUCAGGGGACACAGGUUUCUGAAAAUGGAACUGACCUUGGCAGAAGAGCAGCUGUGAAGGGAAGCAGAACAAAAACACAGAAAUGGGCAUCUGUGUGUGCACCCACUUCCUGGCAAAUCCAGAUAUCACCUGGAAAUCCUAAGUGAGGAUUUCCAGCCUUGACUCCACGGGAGACAGCCUUCUCAAAAUGGAACUGACCUUGGCAGAAGAGCAGCUGUGAAGGGAAGCAGAACAAAAACACAGGGAGAAGAACACAAACUCCCAGCAAUUCAGGCCUGGCAGUCCCCUGCAGCGAGAGCUCAUCCCACAUCUACAGAGGCAAGUCCAGCAUCUGAAAGAAAACAAACCAGAAGAAAAAGGGAGAAGAACACCAACUCACAGCCACUCAGGCCUGGCAGAACCUGCAGCGAGAGCUCAGCACACAUUGACAGAGGCAUGUCCAGCAUCUGAAAGAAGUAAAGUCAACAGCAGAAAAAGGGUCCUGUUCCUGAGAUGGGGCUCCCAUCUGCUACAACGCCAGACAGAUCAGGAUUUCUCCCAGACACAAGCUGCUUAGCACUUGGAACCCCGGCUGCCUUUGCCGUGCAAAACAGCUCUUCCCUACUGAUGUCACAGAACUGGGUACCCACCGUAACAGCCCCAGCCUCAGGCUCUGGCUGAAGCUGCAGACUCGAGGACCCCAGGACGCUCAGGAGAGGGUGACGCAGAGAGAGGAGCCCGGCGAUGGCAGCGAUGUCCCGGACAUCGAGGGAGCCUCGCUUCGCGCCCAAACCGGAUUCACCUCUCCGGGUGUCUGACAGAUAAGCGAAGGGCUGUGAUUCACAGAGGGGAUGACAGAGGGGUGCUGGGUCUGUAAUUGUCAGGAGGGGUUUUUGAGGCAGCUUUGGAGACGGGGAUGUCCAAGAAGCAGCUCCUUAGGCCCCAUGAGAGGCAAGUCUCAAUUUGAUCUCAGUGCUGAAAUGCACAGGGUAGAGCAGUUCUGGUGGGUGUCAUGACACUUGUUUCUUGUGCCCUAUGUGUCUUUUGAGUGUGUUGUAUUACAUGUCUUGAGUCUAAGCCCUUUGAGGGGCAUCUCAGAAAUUCUGGGCUAAUUUUUAGCCUCUCCACUUCCCUUGGCCUGGUGCUGGCCCAUGGGAGCGUGAGCUGGCAUGGUAAUCGCAUCUCUGCUUAGAAGCAUCCAGUCUGAUGUCUUUUAAGGUCUUCUUCUGAGCUGUAUUGACAGCUGUACACCACAAGGGUCCAUUACAGAGGUUUAGGAUGUGAAGAUAGGGAGAGGAUUCUGACCAGAAAUUUCUCAGGCAUCCAUCUCUUCAGUUCUUGGGAUUAAUGCUUCUGCUAGCAUCUUCUUCCAGCCUCAUCAUCACCCCAUCAGUCUCCCCCCAGUCAUCCCAUCUUGCAUUCUCUCAGUCCUCGUGAUCCUUCUUCCUGCUGGGAGAUUUUUUUUCCCUCCCCAUGUCCUCCCCUCGUUUGUCAUGUCCUGUGUCACGGGUGCCUGCACGCAUUUGGCCAGGAGCUGCUCUGCCCUGCUGUGUAGUCUGGGCAUAGGGGUGCUAGGACCAGUCCUGGGGACUUACUUUUUGUAAUGUGGGGUGGUUUUGGACCCUAGAUAAAAUCUGGAGGUAUAAAGUUAUCCUGCAGCACAUUUGACUUCUGUCCUCCCUUCCUUUCAGAUGCAGAUGGAUCAAAUCUGAGGCUGUGGGCCCAUCCUAGAAAAUGAAGCAGGAUAUCCACUGUCAAGGGGAAGCAGGCCAGGCAGUGCCCUUGAACUACCCUGAGAUGGCUCUGCCCAGCUGGCCAAGAGACCCAGUUCACUGCUCCUGUGAGUCCUCCGGCAGUAUUCCAGGAUUCUGAUGAAGCCUUCACCUUCUGCUAUUUGAAGAUGCCAUCCGGGCGGCCUUUGGCGAGAGCCAAGCAGUUGGGGUCCCCAAGGCAGAUUUCCAGUUCUCAGCCGCCUCCUUUCAUGGAACCUAUCCCUCAAUGUCGAGGACCAGCAGCCAGAGGAUGCGGUCAAGCAUCCUAUUCAGCGUACAGUUUCAGGUAAAGGUUGCAGUUCGCUUACCAGCUGAAGAUUGUGUGACCGUCUGUGUGUGAGAGUUUGUGUCCGUCUGCCACCGCUAGCGUAUGCCUGUGCGAGUGUGCGUGGUGACUGGUUGUAAUUUUGUGCGUAGGAGUUUUGCCUUUCAGGCUUUUCAACCAAUUUUAAAUUUAGAAUAAAAAUUUCCCAGCCAGGGUUUUUUUUUUAAUUUCCUCCCUGGCUGGAGUUUUUUUUCCCAGGUCCCGGCCGGUCUGCGCGGUGAAGUUCAUCACCAAAGUUUGGGCGCAGAACGGCCAGGGACCGGGGUUUUCGUCAGGCAGGGUGAUAUUUGAGGUUCCAGGGGAGCACAGAGAGCUGUGGUGUAAUUGGGCGCUCGAGACAAGAGCGGUGGCAGGUGAGCCGAAAGUUGUGUGCGGUGGAUAAGGGUUAUGUUUUAUGGGUUCUGAUUUUCUUCUCAUUUUAUUUAUGUAGGAAAUUGAACUGUCAUCAACUGUCGUGGUCUAGAAAGACGAUUAUGUUCUGUUACUAUGUAUGAGGUUUUAUUUUGUUUUAGCAAGAGGCAGAAAGCCCCCAGUGAUGCUGCAGCCGUCCCAGCCUUUAAAUACUUUGGGGAUGUGCUUGCCAGCAUUCCCGAAAGAGCACUGGGAAAGCACCAGGAAAUCACAGAACCGUUUAGGCUGGAAAAGAGCUCUGACAUCACCGAAUCCAAGCUGUGCCCAUCCCCACCUUGUCCCCAGCCCAGAGCCCUGAGUCCAGGACAGCUCCAGGGACCCCAAACCUCCCCGGGCAGCCCCUCCAGUGCCCGGCCUCCCUUUUCAUGUGGGAAUUCCUCCCGCACUCCCCUGGUCCAGCUCCCAUCCCAUUGCUGGAUCAGAGCCUGACCCUAUUGAAUUUUGGGGUUGUCACCACAUCCUCCAUCCCGCUUUUCAGGGCAGUGACAGCGAGUACGAGGUGGACCCGGGGCACCAGAAGGGCAUCUCCCGGGCACAGGCUUACAGCUACACCGAGAGCGAUUCGGGCGAGCCUGAGCACACCCCGCUCUCCAACAGCACCUCCACGCAGCAGGGCAGCCUGUUCCGCCCCAAAGCCAGCAGGACUCCCACCCCCCAGACCCCCGGCAACGCCCCCAGCAGCCAGCCCGGGACCCUGUACUGCCCUCCCAGCAGCCUGGCCCCCGGCUCCAGAGCUCCCCUCGCUGGGUUUUCCUCUUUCGUUUGAUAUUUAAAGAGAAGGGAAAAAAAAACCAACAGGAGAGGGGGGAAAAA